GCAUUAUACUGGCUUUGAGGACUUUGAGU
rnacentral:piRNA from 1 species